CAGUAAAUCACCAACCUUGUCUUUAUACCUGUUCAGACAACACCCUCCAGGGGGCAGUAAAUCACCAACCUUGUCUUUAUACCUGUUCAGACAACACCCUCCAGGGGGCAGUAAAUCACCAACCUUGUCUUUAUACCUGUUCAGACAACACCCUCCAGGGGGCAGUAAAUCACCAACCUUGUCUUUAUACCUGUUCAGACAACACCCUCCAGGGGGCAGUAAAUCACCAACCUUGUCUUUAUACCUGUUCAGACAACACCCUCCAGGGGGCAGUAAAUCACCAACCUUGUCUUUAUACCUGUUCAGACAACACCCUCCAGGGGGCAGUAAAUCACCAA